GUAACGGGAGAGUGAUACAAAAACUGGACACCUGUGCCCACCCCCGGCGGGAGGCACACCAUGCACCGGAGAGCAGAGGCGUCAAAAGUGUUGUCAAAAAGAGUUUCACUUCCUGCACUGACCUCAGGGGAUCCGCAUACAAAUCACACCCUCGUCUGCCUAUGUAUGCCAUAGAGUUUCCGUCCUGAAUCAGGCUGAAUCUCCCUACAUCCAGGAUGGCAGACAAACUCUCACUGCUCCUGCUCUUACUUGGUCUCCCUGGUGUAAUAUGUGAUGGUCUGGAGUCCAUUCCAUCAAAUCCAGUGCUACAGGAGCCUGGGACAACUCUCAGUCUCCUGUAAGGGUUCUGGAUUUAAUUUUAGAAGCUAUGACAUGCACUGGAUAAGACAACCUGCUGGGAAGCCCCUGGAGUGGAUGGGGGUUAUCUGGUAUGAUGCCAGUAAAACUGUCUAUGCAAAGAGUGUGGAGGGACGG